rnacentral:rRNA from 1 species
UACGUAGGGUGCAAGCGUUGUCCGGAAUUAUUGGGCGUAAAGAGCUCGUAGGCGGUUUGUCGCGUCUGCUGUGAAAACUGGAGGCUCAACCUCCAGCCUGCAGUGGGUACGGGCAGACUAGAGUGCGGUAGGGGAGAUUGGAAUUCCUGGUGUAGCGGUGGAAUGCGCAGAUAUCAGGAGGAACACCGGUGGUGUAAACGGCUUUCUGGACCAUAACUGACGCUGAGGCACGAAAAGCUAGGGUAGCGAACGGG